AACGAACGCUGGCGGCAUGCCUAACACAUGCAAGUCGAACGAGACCUUCGGGUCUAGUGGCGCACGGGUGCGUAACGCGUGGGAACCUGCCCUUAGGUUCGGAAUAACUCCCCGAAAGGGGUGCUAAUACCGGAUAAUGUCUUCGGACCAAAGAUUUAUCGCCUUUGGAUGGGCCCGCGUUGGAUUAGCUAGUUGGUAGGGUAAAAGCCUACCAAGGCGACGAUCCAUAGCUGGUCUGAGAGGAUGAUCAGCCACACUGGGACUGAGACACGGCCCAGACCCCGGGGGGGGGCAGCGGUGGGAAAUAUGGAAAAAGGGGCGAAGGCGUAAUCGAUCAAUGCGGGGUGAGUGAGGAGGGCGUUAGGGUUAUAAAGCUUUUUAACCGGGAAUGAAAAGGACGGAAGCGGAAGAAUAAGCCCGGGCUAACCCGGUG
rnacentral:rRNA from 1 species